CCCUGCCAUUUGUACACACCGCCCGUCGCUACUACCGAUUGAAUGGUUUAGCGAGAUUCUCGGAUUGGGCUUCAAUCGGCCGCAAGGUUGACUGAAGUCUGAGAAGAAACUCAAGCUUGAUCAUUUAGAGGAAGUAAAAGUCGUAACAAG
rnacentral:rRNA from 1 species